rnacentral:tRNA from 1 species
GGAGUUGUGGCUCAGUGGUAGAGUGCUCGCCUAGCACAUGCGAGAUCCUGGGUUCCAUCCCCAGCACCA